UACGAAGGGGGCUAGCGUUGUUCGGAAUUACUGGGCGUAAAGCGCGCGCAGGCGGUCUUCCAAGUCAGUGGUGAAAGCCCGGAGCUCAACUCCGGAACUGCCAUUGAAACUGUAAGACUUGAGGAUGAGAGAGGUGAGUGGAAUUCCCAGUGUAGAGGUGAAAUUCGUAGAUAUUGGGAAGAACACCGGUGGCGAAGGCGGCUCACUGGCUCAUUUCUGACGCUCAGGCGCGACAGCAUGGGGAUCAAACAGG
rnacentral:rRNA from 1 species